rnacentral:rRNA from 1 species
UGGGGGGAACCCUGAUCCAGCCAUGCCGCGUGUGUGAAGAAGGCCUUUUGGUUGUAAAGCACUUUAAGCGAGGAGGAGGCUACUGGUAUUAAUACUACCGGAUAGUGGACGUUACUCGCAGAAUAAGCACCGGCUAACUCUGUGCCAGCAGCCGCGGUAAUACAGAGGGUGCGAGCGUUAAUCGGAUUUACUGGGCGUAAAGCGUGCGUAGGCGGCUUUUUAAGUCGGAUGUGAAAUCCCUGAGCUUAACUUAGGAAUUGCAUUCGAUACUGGGAGGCUAGAGUAUGGGAGAGGAUGGCAGAAUUCCAGGUGUAGCGGUGAAAUGCGUAGAGAUCUGGAGGAAUACCGAUGGCGAAGGCAGCCAUCUGGCCUAAUACUGACGCUGAGGUACGAAAGCAUGGGGAGCAAACAGGAUUAGAUACCCUGGUAGUCCAUGCCGUAAACGAUGUCUACUAGCCGUUGGGGCCUUUGAGGCUUUAGUGGCGCAGCUAACGCGAUAAGUAGACCGCCUGGGGAGUACG